AGCAGUAGCCGCGGUAAUACGUAGGUGGCAAGCGUUGUCCGGAAUUAUUGGGCGUAAAGGGCUCGCAGGCGGUUUCUUAAGUCUGAUGUGAAAGCCCCCGGCUCAACCGGGGAGGGUCAUUGGAAACUGGGAAACUUGAGUGCAGAAGAGGAGAGUGGAAUUCCACGUGUAGCGGUGAAAUGCGUAGAUAUAUGGAGGAACACCAGUGGCGAAGGCGACUCUCUGGUCUGUAACUGACGCUGAGGCUCGAAAGCGUGGGGAGCAAACAGGAUUAGAUACCCGAGUAGUCCCUGUCUCUUAUAC
rnacentral:rRNA from 1 species